rnacentral:rRNA from 1 species
CAGAGGUCUCAAGCGUUGUUCGGAUUCAUUGGGCGUAAAGGGUGCGUAGGCGGCGCGGUAAGUCGGAUGUGAAAUCUUGGAGCUUAACUCCGAAACUGCAUUCGAUACUGCCGUGCUUGAGGACUGGAGAGGAGACUGGAAUUUACGGUGUAGCGGUGAAAUGCGUAGAUAUCGUAAGGAAGACCAGUGGCGAAGGCGGGUCUCUGGACAGUUCCUGACGCUGAGGCACGAAGGCCAGGGGAGCAAACGGGAUUAGAUACCCCGGUAGUCCUGGCAGUAAACGGUGCACGUUUGGUGUGGGAGGAUUCGACCCCUUCUGCGCCGGAGCUAACGCGUUAAACGUGCCGCCUGGGGAGUACGGUCGCAAGAUUA